rnacentral:lncRNA from 1 species
UACAGUUCUUGAUAUACUCUAUUGACUUAGUAUGAGCUAAAUACAAUUAGCUUCAUUAUGCACCAAGACAGUGUUAAGUCAGUCUCUGCAGUAAGUCUUGUGGAUAGCACAACAAGCUUACUAUGGUUCUUGACAUAAUAGUGACUUAGUAUGAAAGAAUAGAUGGAUAGUGCUCUUAAUACUUUAUUAUUAAGACUUAAUAUAAUUUAACUGAGGGACUU